UGGAGAUUCACUGAUCUGAAACACCACAGCUUAGAAUGUGAAAGUGUAGCUGUAUGACAAGUUCCAUUGGCUAAUAAUAAACUGGAUGAUGAAUUCAUUGCUUUAUGUACAAAACAGACAAACAGGUAGAGCUCAGAGAAUUGCAUGGAACUACAACGGUAAGGUAACUAACCUGACAAGACGUGUAGUAUCACCCAAUAUAAUUAAUUCACUGUUAGUAUAAGAGAGAAAGGGAUAGUAUUAUAGCAUUAUCAAUAGAGGAAACAUUUCCAAAAAUGCAUAUAAGGAGAUUUAAUAAAUAUAAAUGUACAUCUUGAAGUGUUCUAACUAUAUCUAUUCACAGCAAAUGCAAAUCUAUAUAGAUAGAAAAUGUAUAAGAAUAAUUAUUUUUUAUUUACCUCAUUGACAAAUUACCCUGUCAGAAAAAGAAGAAAAUGGCUGCCUGGGUGAUUUUGAAUACCAUCCAUGAUAAUGCCAGCUUGUAUGAAGCAAAUUGGAUUUGAAGUUUACCGCUGUUUUAUAAACUAAAGAUUGCAUUUCAUACACUUACUUAAAGUUUUCCUUGUCAUCCACAUGUUUUGUGUCUUUCUAAUACCACAAAUGACACACACACACACAAAAAAACUAUUACUGUGGUUUCCACUGCUCCUAAGGCACGGAUUGGAUGGGCAUCACGAACAAGUGAAUUUGAAUAAUGAUUACCAAUUUUGUCUAACCUACCGUUAUUACUUUGUUGGCACUAGGAAGCAAUGGGGCAACAAAGAUGUGUUGCGGACUAAAGCAUAAAUAGUUUUGCCCGCAUGUUGCUUAACGCUGCAGCACUAAUGCAGUGUAGCCCGUUUUCUCUGAAUCAUUUCCAUUCACCGCAUAAGACAAAAAGCACAAAAUGAGUGGUUUUAAUAGGUACAUGUAAUGGUUCUAACAGAUGUGCAUCUGACAGAUCCUCUAUAUACAUUUUUGAUGAGUAAGUCAUCUAAGUCACUACUCAAUAUCAGUCGCUCAUAAUACUAAUCUUCAAGCAUUUUGUAAUUAUAACACAGCCUGCGUUAUUCACUUACAAGGCAAUUACAACUUCUAAAAUAUAAAUCCUAAAAUUUUAAUUCAAUCUUUUUUUUAUAUAAUUUUAAAAAAAAUUCUAUUCUUUCAUUUUAUUGUGUAUGUUCUGUCAAGUCAUUUAUAAAAACCUUUGGAAGAGAAAAUCAAUCUGCAUCAAAUGCAGAUAUAUCUAAAUUUUUACCCAAGGCACAUUUUGGAGUAAAAAAGAAGAGAUUAUCUUUAUCUUGAAUAAUGAACUACUUCUUUCAUAAAUUCAUUUAAAGAGCAAUAUAGAUUAAAGAUGCUGACUGUCAGUAUAUUCAGCAAGACACAGGACAUGGUACAUCUGUAGAUAUAAGAUGUAGUUGUGUCUGAUGCAUUACAGACUCCAUGUCCUACCAUUGGUUUGCAUCUUAUGUUGUAGUGCAUUGCUUCUUGCUGUUAUCCUUUAAACUGUCACCCACAAACCUUUAGCACACUUGUAAAAUUUACCAGGAAAGGUUAAAAGAUCUUAACAUGUAUAGCUUCAAGGAAUGACGAAACGGAUAUGAUAGAAAUAUUUAAAUACAUAAAGGGAAUCAACACAGUAAGGAGGAGACUAUAUUUAAAAUAAGGAGAACUACCACAACAAGAGGACAUAGUCUUAAAUUAGAGGGGCAAAGUUUUAAAAAUAAUAUCAGGAUUCAGGAAGUAUUAUCAGGAAUAGCCUUCCAGCUGAAGUGGUAGAAGUUAACACAGUGAAGGCGUUUAAGCAGGCGUGGGAUAGGCAUAAGAUAUAACAUAAGGCCAGGGUCUAAUCAAAGUAUUUAAAAAAAAAUUGGGCAGACUAGAUCGGCCGAAUGGUUCUUAUCUGCCGUCACAUUCUAUGUUUCUAUGUUUUUUUUUUUAUUCUUUAUUUUUCAUUGUGCAAGAGAUAACAAGACAGCUUACAGAGCCACAACGGCCUAUGCAAGCACAUUGAUAACAUUGUUGUACAUUCCUGUGGCAUUUAAAGUCGUAGCACAAAAUUUUUAGCAAGUAGUUAUAGUCAAGCUGUAUAACACGCAGAACUAUAAAACUAUAUGAACACGUGAUCGGCACAUGUUUAGUAGAAUAAGUGUAGCUUGUCAUAUAUAUCUAGUAAGACUGCGCUUUUAGUAUGAGUAAAGUUUAGCGGUUUUAGCUAAUAUUGCAGCCGGUUUUGUGCAGUAUAACUGGCAGGAUUCACAUUUACUCUAGGCUUUACCUUAGUGUCACUGUGCUUGAUUAUACAUAAACUGAUUUUGUAGCUUAAACAUAUAAUAGACCUGCGCUACUCUAUUCAGUUGUUGUAUCGGCACAUUUUUUAUACACAAUCGAGUACUGCGGAGUAGAUCAGUAGAUUAGUUAUUGUGAGUGGUAAUAGCAAGAGGUGAGUUUGUAAGAGAGAAGUUGACACGACUAGCUUAGAGUAGUACCAUGCUGGAUUGAACCUUUUCAUAACAGGCUGUGUCUCUAUGUUUUUAAGUGGUUAAGAGAACCAAAGUUAUUUCCCUCACAAAUAAGCUGAACACACUUUUUCAUAUCAGAAAUAGCACAAAUAAUUGCAGCAGCAUUAUUCCAUCAUGGAACACCCAGGGCUUGCUCAAGGGUACUUGUUGCCAUCGGCAAAGUGAGAUUUCAUUAACACGGCUCUGUCAUCAGAAUUGUUCACUGUAUCAUCAUAUGGCAAAUUACACAUUUCCUGUACAUUGUGUUGCAUGGUUUUAUAACUGUAUAAAUAUUGUAUGAAGGAUUUUUUUUAGCUAUUAUGAACUUUCUGUGUGCACAUUGGGCAACCUGUGUCAACAGGCAGUUUUACAUUUGUUCGCCUCCUUACUGCACAGUAGAAAACAGGGCUGGAUUUCCCAAAAGCCAAAAUAGUCACUUGCCUACAGGUGUAUGACUGACAGGGGUACCUAAUAUAUCUGUUAAAAUUCCAUUUCCUACCUCCUGUCCUGUCUCUGCUGUUACUAAACUCUGAGCAGUGGCGAGCCUGUCACUACAUGGGGCUUGGCCACUGCUGUGACCCCUGCAACUAUGAGCUACUUGCAUAUAUUCAUGGCUGGUACACUACAGCACCAGCCCUCCGGCGCAUAGUUGCAGGGUGACUGGCAGGAAGGGAGCACUGUGCUGUGCUGCUCCCCUUCUGCCUCUGUGUGUAGCAUUGCUGAGCAAACCGCAAUUUGACAGGAAGUUCUCACUGGAAGGGAAUAAGAACAUAUAGGGGCAGGGGGAAGGGAAUGAGACACAUGGAAGGCUGGGGGGAGGGACAGACCCAUGUGGACGGGCUUGGGGGGAGACACAUAGUGGGGACAUCCCAACAUGCCGUUAGGUGGCUUCACUAGCUACUUUUAAUCAUACAGUGAUAUUGAUACAGUGCCCCUAUCUACAAAGUAAGAUGGAGCGAGUUAGUCCCCGGGCAGCGCUCACAUACAAGGAGGAGUUCCUUCGGGAGAUGUGAUGGCGACUGUCCUUUUUUGUCCUGAGGUUCCGGUAAGGAUUGUCAGGGCACGCGAGGCCCAAGUGACCAAGCACCUGCAGUACCAAGCACUAGGAAGCAGCGGUUGAUGGAGGUACCCGGCCGGGGUGCCAGGCGGUCCGUCACAAUCAUACUACGAUAUUAAGUUCACUCUAUGAAACUAUCUUAAAAUAAUGCAAACCACUCUUCUCACACUGCAAGAACGCACCAGCCACUUAUAUUUGCAUUUAAAUGCUGUUGUUUAUUUGGUAAGCUCUAGGUGCGAUGUAAUAAUACUGAGUUUUAUUUCAACAACAGGAGACUUGUCAGUGUGGAAUUGGGCUGAUCUUUGUAAUAAUGCUGAAAAGAUUCACUGUCCAAAAUAUCUUCUUGCUUUAGAUAAAGUCUAAUCUUUCUACUUAUAAGUCUGCCCCUCAUGACAAAGAUUUCUCUGUGAUUAUGGGCUGGACUGUGUGACCCAGAGAUUGUAACAGUUCACCCUGAAAUACUGAGGUUACUGUAAAAAGAGUUUCUGUCAUUACACUGGGAAUUGAAAUGAAUAAACAGUAUCACAAAGUUUAGGCCAAACCAGUUAAACGGGAUAAAAUAGUUUGGCAAUAUUUCCACUGUAGGGAAUUAACUCAUUGAGUAGUACCUGUAUAUUUCCCAAACAGAAUCUGAACCAAAAUAUGUAGUGUUCAUUUGCCCUGAGUGUAAAAUGGUUUCUCAUAAACUUAUAAGAAAAGUAUAAAAGAAAAUGCAUAAAAAUAAAAUAACUAAAUAAUGACAAUGCUUGGAUUGAUGAAUGUAACAGAAUAUCCCUCUUGGAAUCCACAUUUGCAUAUAUUUGCAUGUUAUGGUAAUACAGACAGAAUGUUGUAAUUUGUAUUAUCUAUGUUCCCCUAACUUCCCCUCCUAUGUUAUUAUUGCAUGUGGUUUCCUGUAUGAUUUAUCCAUAUGACUAACAGAGUAAUUUACUAAUGUGUAAAUUCAAGGUGAAUUUCAAAUUUAAGGUCAGGAUAGCUGAAAUGAAAGUAUAGCUUUUUUUUUUUCAAAUUAAUCUAUUUGGACCUUGAAUUUUACAUUCUCUUUGAAUCCGCUAUUUAAUGAAUAACCUUGUAUGUGUUAUGUACUAUUGUGAGUGUGUCAUCAGUGGAUGGCAAAGUGGAACAGUUCUGGAUUCCAAGCUGAUGGCCAGUCUACCCUGUUCUCACUACAGUGAUAGUUGAUAGGGCAUCUCUUCAAACUGCAAUCAAUAUUUCUCUAGGUAACUGUUUGUUGUGUAUUACCUAGCUCUAGAAACACUGAUCAGCCACAACAUUAAAAGCACUGACGGGUGACGUGAUUAAAGGACCACUAAAGUGCCAGGAAAACAUACUCGUUUUCCUGGCACUAUAGUGCCCUGAGGGUGCCCCCACCCUCAGGGACCCCCUCCCGCCGGGCUCUGGGGAGAGGAAGGGGUUAAAAUCUUACCUUUCUCCAGCGCCGGGCGGGGAGCUCUCCUCUCCGCCUCUUCUCCUCUUCUUCGGCUGAAUGCGCAUGUGAGGCAGGAGCUGCGUGCGUAUUCAGCCAGUCUCAUAGGAAAGCAUUCAUAAUGCUUUCCUAUGGACGCUGGCGUCUUCUCACUGUGAUUUUCACAGUGAGAAGCACGCAAGCGCCUCUAGUGUCUAGCGGCUGUCAAGAGACAGCCACUGGAGGCUGGAUUAACCUAUUUAUAAACAUAGCAGUUUCUCUGAAACUGCUAUGUUUAUAAAAAAAUGGAUUAACCCUAGCUGGACCAGGCACCCAGACCACUUCAUUAAACUGAAGUGGUCUGGGUGCCUAGAGUGGUCCUUUAAAGUUAUUAUAUCAUUACAAUACUACCUGUCAAUCGGUGGAAUAUAUAAGCUACUGAAGCUUAAAUUGCUAUAAAAAAAAACCUGUAAUGUUGGCAUCAUUAGAGAUUUUACCUCUUAGCAGAAAGCAGCAAGGUGAAUUGUUAGUGUAGAACUCACCCAAGAGAAUUUGCCUUGACAUGGCAGGUGAGCUUACAUUUUAAUAGACAUUGGAGUGAUACUAAAAGAACUCCAGUUAUUUAAAUGUGGAUAGGCAUAUGGGGUAGUGCCCAAGUGACUUUUUUCCUUAGUUUUUAUUGUAUGAAAAGAUCUGAGUGACUUUGACAAGUGUUAAAUAGUGAUUGCUAUGUUACUGGGUCAGAGAAUGUCCAAAACAACAAGUGCAGUGGUUAGUAUCUACAAAAAAUGGUGCAAGGAAACUGGUUAACUGACGUAAAGGUCAUGGGCGCCCAAGGCUCUUUGAUACAUACCACCUACGCACAGAAUGUUACAGACUACGUACAACCCCUCAUGGGAAUGGUGUUCUCUGAUGGCAGUAGCAUCUUUCAGCAGGAUAAUGUGCCCUGCAACACAAAAAUAUUUCAGGAAUGGUUUGAGGAAUUUGAAAAAGAGUUCAAGGUGCCACCAAAUUCCCCAGAUUUCAAUCUGAUCGAGCAACUGUGAGAUGUGCUGGGACAACAAAUACGAUCCAUGGAUGGCCCACCUCGCAACUUGCUGGACUCAAAGGAUAUGCUGCUAAUGUCUUCAUGCCAGAUUUCACAGGACUCAUUCAAUAGCCCAUGCCUCAAGCAUCAGUGUUGUUUUGGCAGCUAUACUUGACCAUACUAUAAUAGGCAGGUGGUUUUAAUGUUGUGGCGUAUAUAGGGGGAUUCUGAAAUAGUCAUAACAUUACUGAAGAUAUAAAAUAUAGAUCCUUUUAUGUAUUCUGUGGAUAGCAGAUUAGUUGCUCUGGCAACCAUUUCAAAGUCUAAAAGGAAGGAAAUGUAGUUGUUAUGUAAUAUGUGCUGCACCCCACUGACAUGAAUGAGUUGCAUUCACUAAUAAUAGGCUAUGAAAUUCCUAAUUGGCCACACAGUGUAAAGAAGAGCAUCUUGAAGAUUGUCUUCAUUUGUUUUGUGAUAUGGAUUGAAUAUGUCCCUGCACUGAAGAAUUACUUAAAGGGGAGACGUCACUGCUCCGGAAAUUACAUUAUUAAAUAAUACAAUGAAAAUGACCUGUAAUUAAUCUUUUUUUUCACGUGAUUUUAUUUUAAAUGUACAUGAAAUAUUCAGCAACUGACAUCUCAUUCCAGUCCAUUCAUGGCACAGCCAGGGCACACAUUGCAUUACAAUUAUUUAUAUAGUGCCAACAUAUUCUACAGCUCUGUACAAUAGGUAAACAAACAAGACAAAUUAAAUUGUAAAAAAACACAUACAAGAACUUAAUGCUGGCAAAGAGGGUCCUGUCCAGAAGAGCUUGCAAUCUAAAAAAAAAUGUUUCUGUUUUUUCAUUCCUCUCUGUUGUUUUUCUUUGUUGCCUCACAACUGCAAAGGACAAACCUAUAACAAUGAUGAUUAGAACAGGCAGUUUAAAGUUAUCCCCAAAGAUAACAUUAAGUCCUCAAAUGUUGCUAAGAAAAUAGAUUAGACUAGAUGUGAGUAAUGUCACCUGCCCCAUAAUAUAUCCCCUCUGCAGUAGUUAAAUCUGUAGUUUAUUUUUCACAGUGGACUGCCGAAAGAGCAGAAACGUUUGCCACCAUGUGUAUAUUUAAUUGCAAAUCAAUUAGUAACACAUUUACGUGUUUGGCUACCACAAUUUUAGGUAAAAUCUGAAAAACUUUGAAGCUGACAGGCAGCAUAACAGUCCCUUUAAUUUAAAAUAAAUUAUUUUAUACCUUAGCAUGUUAAGCUUAGUGAGCUCAGUUACUAAUCAAUCUUGAUGAACUACUGAAAUGUUUCAAAAAUGUAAUAAAAUAUAUCUUUCUGUAUGAAAAGGCAAGAGCGACGUUGGUUCAGUCAGAUAUUAGAGGUAUGUGGUCUCUUACUAUGUGUCAACCACCAACCAUAUUUGAUUAAGAAAAUUACACCAAUUUGAUCGUAAUGAAUUUACAUCUGUAAAGUAUAUAAAGAUAAGAAUGUAAUCAAAAUUCUUUCUGUGCCGUAUCAUCGACAUCAUCAAAGACGGCUUUUUCAAAGGCACCUGUAGUUUGUCGACUCAAAGUCUACAGAUUUGAGUUCAAAACAAACUGUAACCAAGGAAUUAACUCAUUGAGUGACAGAGUGUGUUGUAUACAAAUUCCAUGCUAACACAAAGACCAUUGAGGUAGAAAAAUAGUUUUGCACAUACCUUUUUAAGUAUUACUUGUUGUGUUAUAGUAAUAGUAUUAACUGUUAAUUGUCAUGGUACAGAGCUCUAUGGGACUGAUUAUCAGAUCCCCUUUGUUCCUUUAUGUCUACAGUAGGUAAAUAUCCGUGAAACUGUAUAGAGAAAUUCAGUUCAAUCCCUUCUUUUGUUCCCAGAGCUUAUAACUUCACUUUGUGGCUCUAGACCACUUGAACUUGAUGCUGCAACAUCAUGUCUGACUUUAUUUUUAUAUAUCCAGCCUUUUGUUCCCAAUACAGAAAUAUUGGAAUUUAUUCCAAGAAUCAAGGGACCAGCAAAGUACCCAAAAGGUAACUAAGGGCAUGAGCAACAUGAACAUUUUAUUUCAAGUCAAACUCACGUUUGUGAGUCAUAAAAAAGCAAAACAAUGUCUGUGCGUCUACCCUUUUUUGCCUUCUUUUGGAUCAAUAGCAAAAAACAGAUGUGAGGAAGGCUUAACAUGAUGGACACAUCUCUUUUCAGCCUGAGUAGCUAUGCAACUAUGUAACCCUAAAAAUAUAACUAUAUAUAAUCCAAACGAUGUAGAAAUUGCACUCAAUCAGUCUAGACAUGGUUAUCAGCAGUGCUGGCUAUCUUGUUCCACAUUUAUGACGCAGAAAGUUCCAAGAGAAGUGGUGAUUUAUUCAACCAUAUAUACAAACAUGGCAGUGAGACAGACUGCAUUAAAUGUAGACCAAUGUAGUAAAAAAGCUAUAGGAAAACCGGACACUUUUCACAUAUACUACCGACCAUUAUAUAGGUGGGGCACAUAAGAUACCACAGUCCAAACUGGGAGGCGCUUAUAUUUUCAACCACUAAAUCAUACCACUGAAACCAAAUAUAUAAAAAAAAUAAACACAAACAUACGCUAUAUAGACAAAUGUAUUGGGACACCUGUAUUGGGACCAUUAUACCAAAGGGACUUUUAUGACAUUGCAUUCUAAAUACAUAGAUAUUUAUAUAUAGAUGGUCCACCCUUUGUAGCUAUAACAGCUUCCACUCUUCUUGGAAGACUUUCCACGUGAUUUUAGAGUGUCUAUUGAGUAGAGCGUGCCAUCCAGUAGAGAAUUUGUGAGAUCAGGCCCUGAUGUUGGGAGAGAAGGCAUGGCUCACAAUCUCCAUUCCAGUUGAUCCCAAAGGUGUUCAGUUGGGUUGAGGUAAGGGCUCUGUACGGGUCAGUCAAGUUCUUCUACACCAAACCAAUCCAACCAUGUCUUUAUGGAUCUUGCACUUUGGCACCGUAAUGCUGGUAUAGAAAAUGGCCUUCCCCAAACUGUUUCCACAAAGUUGGAAGCAUAGAAUUGUCUAGUGUUUGCUGAACUACUUCUCUUCACUGUAAGGUGCCUUGCCGAAUCCCUGAAAAACAGCCCCAUACCAUUAUCCCUACUCCAUCAAACAUUACAGUUGGCACAAUGCAGUCAGGCAGGUAACAUUAUCUUGACAUGCACCUAACCUAGAAUUUCCCAUCCGACAGCCAAACAGAAAAGCAUAAUUCAUCAUUCUAAAGAACACAUUUCCACUGCUCCAGAGUCCAGUGGCGAAAUGCUUUAAACCACUCAAACUGAAGCCUGGCCUUAUACUUGGGGAUGUGAGGCUUGCAUGCAGCUGCUUGGCCUUGGAAACUCAUUCCACAAAGCUCCCGCCACACAGUUUCUGUGCUGAUAUUAUUGCCUGUAGAGGUUUGGAACUCUUCAGCUAUGGAAUCAGCAGAGCAUUGGCAACUUUUACACACCAUGUGACCCACUCUGUGAAUUUACGCAGUCAUCUUGAGUUAAUGCUAUUUCUAAAAACUGACCAUUUUUUCACAAAUGUUUAUAAAUGCAGACUGCAUGGCUAGGUGCUCGAUUUUAUACAUAGUGUGGCACAGGGUCUGAUUGAAAUACCUGAAUUCAAUAGUUAAGAAGUAUGUCCCAAUACUUUUGUCCAUAUAGUGUAUUCAGAGGAGGCAAGUGCCAUAUCUAUAGUUUACCAAUCAGAGUAAACACGGCACUAUGGGGUUAUUUAAAAAGUGCCUGUGUUUACCAAAGUUUAAAACAAUUGCGAAAGAAUGGCUCAUCUGGCAACCACGGUUCCUAUUCCAGUCAGAGCGGUGAUAUGCAAGGAACUGGAAUUUUGCUGGAGCUAUUUAAAUAAUGAAAUAAUAAUAAUAACUGUUUUCCACCAAUUUAUCGCUCCUAAGCUGCUAGAUGAUCCUUUCACCUGCCACCUGACUUCUCACCAAUUCUCUGUACUGGGUGGGAUUUCUUUCCCUCUAAUACACAUUAAUUAAGUCCUGCACCACAGCACCAUACACUUGUCACAAGGCACUGCUGGUUGGCUUUGGUAAGAGGGGGUGGUUUCUGCAGCCCUGUGCCCUACUGCCUCAGUCAAUUACAGUGAGGUGUAGUGUGUACAGAGGAUAUACGUGGUAAGGUGAGUAGGAUCAGGAGUAAAUUAGUGCCUCCAGAUUGGUUACUUACAUCCCAAUGAGAGGAUGGUCUGUCAAGUCUGGCUUCUCUUCUCAGCUGUGCAGGUAGUAAAGGAGGCAGGUUCCUCUGUUUCUUUGGUUGUAAUUGCUCACCAAAACCCCUGGCUCAAUUUCCUGCUCCUCCAGGUAUUCACAUCGUUAUCAUAGCAGGGCCGGGCCUGAUCUUGGAAUAAUACAUUUUAAAAUGGAAAAAACUACUUACAGUUAGAUUAUGCUGUAUAGAUUGAUUGCUCUGCAAUUUGGAGAGAUUAGACUGCUCUAGUUGUGGGAAUACUGUCCCACUGGGAUAAGGUGAAAUUUCAGUGUGCUGGCAUACCUUCCGGCCGUACAGCACAGUGCUAUAUCUCCUGCCAGUAAGUGCAUGCAACGUGGUCGAGCAGACCAUGGUCUGACAGGAAGUGCUCCUUGAGAGCAACAAGCACUUCCAUUCAGACAGGAUUCUGCGGUUCGCUCAUCCCCGCUUGCAGGUGAGCAGGUACCGGAGGGUACCGGUAUUGGGGGAGAGAAACAUGCAGGGGUGGCAGGGAAUAAGACACAUGGAGGAGUUGGGGAGGAAUAUGACACGACGUAGGGCUGGUAGGAGGUAAUGAGGGGGGUCCAGGGCAAUUUUCAUGAGGGGGCACAGGGCAAUUUUCACACUGGUGCCGGUGGAUUUGUAUUUUUGCCUCUGGGCUUCUCUUCUGAAUGCUUAAUCAAUGUCUGCAUCACAUCCCUGUCUGCGUCAGACAAUAUAUACAAAUAUAGAGGGUUUAUUCACUAAACACAAAAUUUUAAUACAUUUAUGUGACAAACACUCCUUCCCACGUACGUUUGCCAUGAACUCCUGGAAGUUUGGAAGCUGGCCUCCUGCCCACCGACUUUGGUCCAUGUGACAAUUCACUAUUUUCCCUGUGUUCAAGACAUUUCCCUGCAAUUUUUCGUAUAAUAUGUUCCCCAAAACCCCAUUCACGUUUCCCCAAUUCGAGAGCUGCACGCUACCGAACACUGACCACCACCCUGGCCUAUUAACUACAAACUAACCACAAACUUAAGUGCUCUCCCUGUGUGGCUGCUGUUUGUAUAAUUGAACUGGGGAAAAUGGUGGCCAUCUUGUCCCACGAACGCAGGCAGCGGCACUUGGUCGUUGAGUGUAUGGAACUCAAAGUCGGAUACAUCCUCGUGUGAACCUCUGUGAUCUUGCGUCAGCACCUGCUUCUUUUGCCGACAAGACAGGAGAGUGCUGUUCGUGGGAUUGUUUGCACAAACUACGCCAGAGUAUAAGGGAUCUGUUACAGUCCAGGUUUGAGAUCCUGUUAGGGAGUGACCCUGCCCAGCAUUCGAACAACAGCUUCCCCUUCAUGCCCCUGGUUCGGCACUUUCCCUUCAUUUGAAUGGAACUAAAUGCUAGAUCCCUGGUCGCCGUUCACAUGAACCAAAGCCAUGAAUAGUCCUCAGCAGUAUUUAGCUGCGACCGCUUUGGAACUAAUUUCAGCUUGAGGACUUUGGGUGUCUCGGUCACCUCAGUGGGACUUAACCGUGAAUGUUAUGGAACUGUUUUCGGCAUGAGGUGACUGUGCGGUUCCCGGACAACUUGGUCUGAGAUUUUGAACCACUUUGCAACCCGUCAGGAGAGUGCUUUUUGUAUGGAAUGUGCCUGAGACUAUGAGGAACAAACACUCCCUGAGAGCCAGGUAGAGCACCCCGUAUUGUGGAUGCAGGAACUCUUGAAAGUUGACCGGCAAAAGCACCAAUCGUCCUGGAACUAUUUUGUGCAUAGGACCACACGUGCGGCCGGUCAGAACUGUAACACGGUGACGUUUUCCCUACACUGCAUUGAUCUGAGUGCUAUGUGGAGAACUUGGGCGCUCAGAUUAAGGCUAUCUGAGAGUGUGCAAAGUUUUACUCAAAAAAGAAUUUCAAUGCAUCUUAAUAUAAUCAUUGACAAGCAUUUAGAAUUCUGAUUUUUUUUCAGCAACUUUUUAUGAAAUGUUCACCCGUGUAACUGAAGUCUGCUUACUUGGCUUGUUGCAUUGUUUGCUUAUGCAUGUUUGGAGAGCGUUGAACAUGAUUCAGUGAGUGAAGUGGAUGAGAAAAGUGUGUGAAUGGUCAGUAAAAAGGGUUAAAGCCUUGAUGUGUAAUAACUGCUUGGCCUUCUUGUUUAAAUUACUGUAGUUAGGACUGAAGCCAGUGCUCUGUGUGAGCAAGAAUGCUUCUAAAUAUGCAUACAAAUUGCAAAAAUCCCCUUCUACAAAACCAAUACAAAUUCUGAUGCUGCUUGUAAUGAGACAUAAAUGUUGUUAAAGGGACUCAAAACAACUUUAACUUAAUGAAGCAGUAUGGACAUAUGGUACAUGCCCCUGCAGACCCAUUACUUAAGCAAGUGCACUCUAGCCACUUCUGUUAGCUCUGAGGAGCCAACAAAAGCAGAAAAAAAACUGUGUGAGUGACAGCUAGAGAGAUGUUCCUGUUCCCAGUAAUAAUAGUGCUAAUUUCUAGUGAAACUGGCAAUAUUAUAAACUGUCAAAAAAUAAUCACUUACUCAGGUCACAUAAAGCACUCCAGCAAGCUUUAGGAAGUACUUUAUGUGUCUGGGGUAUUCCUUUAAUGUGCACUCAUGUUUAGCCAGGGCUCUCACUACCUCUUCGAUAUGUUUGUCAAAUGUGUCUUGUUGAAUGAACUUGUAUGUCUUGUCCAAAGCUGGUCCAGCAUUGUCGAAUAUGUCUGCAUUUUGUAAAUAGAAGUAGUAAUAAUAAUAAAUAUAUAUUUACCACUCACAAACAAUUCAUUUAAAUCAAAGGUGAUUCUUAACAGGAGAUUGAAGACCUUUAUGUAUAUCUCAUGUAUUGCAUGGGCACAAAUAGUGCAAGGCUCCUCCAAAAAGAACUCAGGUAAUGGCCCAACUUGGGGGUAUUUCACUUAUCACAUGUAAAGUAGAAAGAUUAUACGUAUUACAAAGUACAAUAACAUAUAAGAAUAUAUAGUGAUAAUUGUGAUGUGUUUUUCUCUUGUUGGUGGUUUUUAGAUCAGCGAUACAUACAUAAUUUUGUUAUGUUACUGACACUAUACUUGGGUUUUAUACUGUGUUGUUGAUCUUGUGCACAUAAUAGAUAACUCUACUAAACAGACUUGAAUUUAACUAGACUUGACUUGAAUUUUGUUUAUAAACCUAAAGAUUCAUUGGGCCACUUUCAAGUGUAGAGGUACAAGCAGACACUUCAUAAGUGGUUUUAAUAUGGUUACAAAUUUUAAAUGUGCAGUAUUUGAUGUUAUCUUUGUUAACAUUUUAAAAUAGCCACAAUAACAAUAAUCCUUAUUAAGAAGCAGGACAGGUGUCCUUAUGCUUUUGAAAAUGUUGGACUCACAAAACACAAAUUAAUUUCCUUUCAAAAUUCAUUAAAUUAAUUAUGAGUACUGGUAAUAUUAUUAUUAUUAUUAUUAAGAUGAUGAUGUUGUGCAUAAAUAUCCUUUCCAACCAACAAUAUAAUUUUCAGUUUCCCCAAGCUGAAAGCUAUCUCAUCGGAGGAAUAAUAAUGUUAGAAUAGACUAGGUUCGAACACAAAAUAGGACAUAUGUCAUUAUAAGGCAAGUGGGGAAAAAUGUUUUAUUAUCUGAUAGCUUAUAUUCAAAAAUGUAUUACAAAGAGAGAAUAAUAAAAAUAAAAAAAAGUUACCUAGGGUAGUAGGCAUGUGCAUUAACAAAAAUAUUAUAUUUUAAGUUGUGGAGGUACAAGCCGUGUAAUUUAUAAAGAGCCUGUUUUCUGCUACAUUGGUAGCGACCAUUUACAAUAUUGUAAAUGUGCCUGCUUUUUGUCUUCUCAGUUGGAGAGAAGUAACACAAUAGAGGACACGGCUGGCAGAAGCAGAGAAAAGAAAAGUAAAAAAAUGAAAAAGAAAGGAAGAGGAAUUGUAAAGCUCCUAACAUGGAAACAAAAUCUCAAUAUAAUCUAAUUCCAUAAGUAGUUGCAGGUACUUAUGCAUUAAAAAAGCUUUAAAAUGUAAUAGCGAAAAAGACAGAUUAUGCAAUAUUCCAGCAUGCAAAAUAUAUAUUCCCAUGUGAAUUUUAAUCGAACUGAACACCGAAGAGAAGACCGUUCUCCAGCAGGCUGUUAUGUACUGCUUAUUCUGAUAAAACUCAGUGCAAGGCAGAGACAAAAGGCCAAAGAAAGGAGCAUUCAAAAAAGGUCUACAGUCCACUGAUGCGAAUAAGGAUUUACAUAGGCUCCCGAGUAUGAUUCGCUAUGCUUAUCGUAAAAGGCGCCGUUGACUUGGUCUAUGAUGCUUUCAGAUCCGUUAAGCUUCCUAAAAGCCAGCAAUAGAUGUGUUGCAGUCUCGCCUGUAUGACUAGCUCCAUCUGUGUUUGCCUGCUUUAACAUAUCCAGCUGCCUUCCACUUUAGCAAUAGGCUGAUGUCAUUUGAGAAUUUGCAUUAGGUGUGUACACACAGAGCUCACAGGGAGUACAGCCGCUAGACAUUUGCCAAUGCAGUAAAUUAGGCAAGGCAGCAUGGAUAUAAUACAUUGAAUGUGUUAAUUAAAAAAGGG